rnacentral:tRNA from 1 species
GCGCGAGUGGCGGAAUUGGUAGACGCGCUACCUUGAGGUGGUAGUGGCCGUAAGGUUGUGGAGGUUCAAGUCCUCUCUCGCGCACCA